rnacentral:rRNA from 1 species
UACAGAGGGGGCAAGCGUUAUUCGGAAUUAUUGGGCGUAAAGAGCGUGUAGGCGGUCCGGUAAGUCAGCUGUGAAAGUCAAGGGCUCAACCCUUGAAAGCCGGUUGAUACUGUCGGGCUAGAGUCCGGAAGAGGCGAGUGGAAUUCCCGGUGUAGCGGUGAAAUGCGCAGAUAAUCGGGAGGAACACCAAUGGCGAAGGCAGCUCGCUGGGACGGUACUGACGCUGAGACGCGAAAGCGUGGG